AUUGAACGCUGGCGGAAUGCUUUACACAUGCAAGUCGAACGGCAGCACGGGGGCAGCCCUGGUGGCGAGUGGCGAACGGGUGAGUAAUACAUCGGAACGUGCCCGGUCGUGGGGGAUAACGUAGCGAAAGUUACGCUAAUACCGCAUACGAUCUGAGGAUGAAAGCGGGGGACCUUCGGGCCUCGCGCGAUCGGAGCGGCCGAUGUCAGAUUAGGUAGUUGGUGGGGUAAAGGCCUACCAAGCCGACGAUCUGUAGCUGGUCUGAGAGGACGACCAGCCACACUGGAACUGAGACACGGCCCAGACUCCUACGGGAGGCAGCAGUGGGGAAUUUUGGACAAUGGGCGCAAGCCUGAUCCAGCCAUUCCGCGUGCAGGACGAAGGCCUUCGGGUUGUAAAAUGCUUUUGUACGGAACGAAAAGGCUCUGGCUAAUACCUGGGGCUCAUGACGGUACCGUAAGAAUAAGCACCGGCUAACUACGUG
rnacentral:rRNA from 1 species